rnacentral:rRNA from 1 species
AUUGAACGCUGGCGGCAUGCCUUACACAUGCAAGUCGAACGGCAGCACGGGCUUCGGUCUGGUGGCGAGUGGCGAACGGGUGAGUAAUGUAUCGGAACGUACCUUUCAGUGGGGGAUAACGUAGCGAAAGUUACGCUAAUACCGCAUAUCCUGUGAGCAGGAAAGCAGGGGAUCGCAAGACCUUGCGCUGGUUGAGCGGCCGAUAUCAGAUUAGCUAGGUGGUGGGGUAAAGGCCUACCAAGGCGACGAUCUGUAGCGGGUCUGAGAGGAUGAUCCGCCACACUGGAACUGAGACACGGUCCAGACUCCUACGGGAGGCAGCAGUGGGGAAUUUUGGACAAUGGGGGCAACCCUGAUCCAGCCAUGCCGCGUGAGUGAAGAAGGCCUUCGGGUUGUAAAGCUCUUUCGGCCGGGAAGAAAUCGCAUGGGCUAAUACCCUGUGUGGAUGACGGUACCGGAGUAAGAAGCACCGGCUAACUACGUGCCAGCCGCCGCAGUAACAC